UGGGGAAUAUUGGACAAUGGGGGAAACCCUGAUCCAGCAAUGCCGCGUGGGUGAUGAAGGCCUUCGGGUUGUAAAGCCCUUUUGGCAGGGACGAUGAUGACGGUACCUGCAGAAUAAGCCCCGGCUAACUUCGUGCCAGCAGCCGCGGUAAUACGAAGGGGGCUAGCGUUGUUCGGAAUUACUGGGCGUAAAGGGCGCGUAGGCGGCUUCGAUAGUCAGGCGUGAAAUCCCCAGGCUCAACUUGGGAAUUGCGCUUGAUACUGCGAGGCUUGAGUGAGGGAGAGGAUAGUGGAAUUCCCAGUGUAGAGGUGAAAUUCGUAGAUAUUGGGAAGAACACCAGUGGCGAAGGCGGCUAUCUGGACCUCAACUGACGCUGAGGCGCGAAAGCGUGGGGAGCAAACAGG
rnacentral:rRNA from 1 species